rnacentral:lncRNA from 1 species
CUCAUCUUAGGAAUCACUGGAAUUGAGAUUCUGUACCAUUCUAGUGGCUUCUUGGUUUUGGAAUUGGAUAGGAAAUCUUGGGUGAAAGAAAACAUGAGAUGGGCAUUCCGAAUCAUAACAUUGGCACCACCCAUUCUAUGAGCUCAGAAAAAUGAUGUCAUCUCUUGUACCCAUUUUAUUAUCUCCCAAUUUCUAUUCUCAUUCUUUCAUAUCCAGAGGUACAUGUCAUCUGAAGCCUUGGGCCCUCUGCAUCAUAAAUCAGGAACAAAUCCAGGAGGGAGAAAGAGCAAAGGAGACAAGGACCUCGUUAAGAACACUAAGUUUCUGUCUGGCACUUUGCAGGGAUAACAGUCAAUUCCAGCCACCAGAGCAUGGCUGUAGGGAUGGUCUGAGGUACCAUCAUCAAUACUCCUCAUGAUGACCGCUUUGCAUCCGGAGUAGCAUCUAGUUUGGACCAGCACCACCUUCCGGGGUUUCAUGAACUUGCCCAUCUUGAUACCAGCCACUCAAGCCUACAGCAGAAAGCUCUGGUGGUACUUUUAAUGGCACAAGACACAUCUCAUUCAGAGCACAGGAACAGAAUGAAGAGUGGCUGUAUGCUACUAUACUCAAGAGUGGCUCCACUAUGAAGAGUGGCUGUACCAUCUACUCCUUGGCCUUGGAAUCAUUCCAGCCCAUCCCACUCUAGCAUCAUACUGCACUCCUCCUCCAAUAUUGACCACCACGCUGCCGGCUCUCUUUGGCUUCACACUUGCAUUCUUGUCCCUCCCUUGAUUAGUCAAACAUGCUUAUUGGCUAACAAUGGGUUUGUCCUUGACUUUACACCCUGUUGACCAAUUUGGAUGUAGGGAUCCAGUUUUCACUUCCGACCUAACUCAGACCCUGGUGCUUUUAGUUUUGCUCACUGACCAGUGGCUUUUCCAGGUCCACUGAUUCUGCCAACUUCAGCCACCUCAAAACACCAGGCGCUGCCAACCACAAAUGGCAAGACACAUCUGCCAACUGGAAUCUGGGGUUGUCUUCCAAGAGACCCUCUUGCCUGGUUCCGACUUGCCUGUGCUGCUAGCCCACCUCUGUUCAGUUCCACACCCUUAACUUAUCAACUCCCAUCUCAGUAGCCCCGACUUCACAUUGCAUGUGUUCUUCCAGAUAUUUAGACUCAGAUUACCUCUACGAACUUUGACCUUGGGCGCCUUUGUGGCUCCCUGUGCCCUCUGCCACCCGUACCUAGCCCACUGCAAGAAGUCUCAGCCUCACCCUCACCAGUGCGGAACUUCCACUGGCCCCUGAGGAGUGGGCAUAACCCAGUCAGAAGAAUUGUUCUCCUGAUAAAACAAUCAGCGAGAAGAGAUUUUUGAUUUUUCAGAAGUCUACUAUGCAGGUCAGGAGAUUAUUCUCAGAGAGAGAUAUAAAAUGGAGAAUGCAAAUCUGGAGUCUUAGCCCAGUAAAAAGGAGGUACACACAUUUUAUAAAGGAAAAGUGAUUGAAUCUCUCUCCCUUCAUUCUACCAGAUGGGAUGAGUCCUGCUGGGAAUGUGCUGUGAGGAAAUGUUUAUCGGGAAGAGAAGUAAAGGACUCAGGACUCUUGUUAUCCAUUUCCAUAAGCAGUCUUUUUUUUUUUUUUUUUUUUUUUUUUUUGGGAGAAAAAAGUCUUGGCUUGAACUCCUCGUGCUUUCUUAUGUAAUAAAAAAGUCAAGCAAAGGGCA